AUUGAACGCUGGCGGCAGGCCUAACACAUGCAAGUCGAACGAGUGGCGGACGGGUGAGUAAUGUCUGGGAAACUGCCUGAUGGAGGGGGCUAACGACUGGAAACGGUAGCUAAUACCGCAUACAAUCAGAUGUGCCCAGAGGGGAUGAGCUGGUUGGGGGGGUAACGGCUCACAAAGGCGACGAUCCCUAGCUGGUCUGAGAGGAUGACCGGCCACACUGGAACUGAGACACGGUCCAGACUCCUACGGGAGGCAGCAGUGGGGAAUAUUGCACAAUGGGCGAAAGCCUGAUGCAGCCAUGCCGCGUGUAUGAAGAAGGCCUUCGGGUUGUAAAGUACUUUCAGCGGGGAGGCGUUACCCGCAGAAGAAGCACCGGCUAACUCCGUGCCAGCCGCCGCGGUAAUAC
rnacentral:rRNA from 1 species